rnacentral:rRNA from 1 species
GAUGAACGCUGGCGGCGUGCCUAAUACAUGCAAGUCGAGCGAAGCGGGGACGGGGGAGUAACACGUGGAUAACCUCCUAUAAGACUGGGAUAAAUUCGGGAAACCGGAGCUAAAACGGAUGCUUAUAGAUUGAUCCGCGCUGCAUUAGCUAGUUGGUAAGGUAACGGCUUACCAAGGCAACGAUGCAUAGCCGACCUGGUAGGGUGAUCGGCCACACUGGAAAUGUGACACGGUCCAGACUCCUACGGGAGGCAGCAGUAGGGAAGCUGCCGCAAUGGGCUAAAGCCUGACGGAGCAACGCCGCGUGAGUGAUGAAGGUCUUCGGAUCGUAAAACUCUGUUAUUAGGGAAGCGGGACCUAAUCAGAAAGCCACGGCUAACUACGUGCCAGCAGCCGCGGUAAUAC